UACGUAGGGGCCGAGCGUUGUCCGGAGUUAUUGGGCGUAAAGCGCGCGCAGGCGGCCUCGCGCGCCCGACGUGAAAGCCCCCGGCUUAACCGGGGAGGGUCGUUGGGGACGGCGGGGCUUGAGGGCGGGAGAGGUCGGUGGAAUUCCCGGUGUAGUGGUGAAAUGCGUAGAGAUCGGGAGGAACACCUGUGGCGAAGGCAGCCCCCUGGGCCAACACUGACGCUCAGGCACGAAAGCGUGGGGAGCAAACAGG
rnacentral:rRNA from 1 species